rnacentral:lncRNA from 1 species
AUGACGACGCGUGAGGGCGGGAAGAAGGCAGAUGGAGGGCAGGAAGUAAACAUGGAGAAUACGUCUAUAGAGGAAACCGUUGCAGAAAGUCAGUAUUGUACGGAUUUAGAUCCAGUUUCAAGACAUAGAUACAAGGAGUUAAUUAACAGAUAUGUUGGACGUGACCCGUACCUCAUGAAGAUGAGUGAGUUUUCAGUAGAACUGAAAGAUUUACCGACAGUUGAGGCUGUUGACAUCACCAACUAUCUGGUCCUUCAGACAUCGUACCACACCAGACAGCAAAUGAAGGCCUAUAAAAGUCUGGAGGCAUACAACUUUUUUGUCAACGGAUGGGUCCACAACCUCGGUGUCAAACGGCUCCACGAUGAUCAUUGUUUGGUCUUCGCCAGAGUAAACCACUCUCAGAGGUCAAGCGAAACACCUCUGAAGACCUGGAUUAUUGCGAAGGAUGCUGGAGAAGUCAUUGCACACACACACACACACACACACUCACCGUACUGCUAGCAUACUGUGUACUUCAGAACCAGCGGAGAGAGAGCUUUAAGGAAUAAACAUGUUGAUUAAUGUAAAGUGCUACUCCAUCCAUAUUAGUAUAAAUGGGCUAUAUUGCACAUCAUCAAAAUGUGCUGAUAUAUAUGCCACUUUGCCACUUGUGCAGAUUGCAUUUGAGGUUUAAAAAAUGUCAUAUUGUAUUCUGUUCACAGACUAUCAGAAUCGUGUUCUCAUGUAGGGGCAGUUCUUUUUUCCAUUGAAGUUGGGUUAAAGAUGCGAGAUUCAGCUUCCUGCACAACAGAGCAGUGCAAGUGGCUGAUGCCAUCACAUGUAAAAAAGGUAAAGUGACACGUUCACAGCAAACCUAAUGUGGGACAGAGAAUGUUAUUUUGGGACACUGUUUAACAGUAGGCUAAAUUAUGAUGUUAAUAAAUUAAAAGGAUAGUUCACCCAAAAAUGAAAAUUCUGUCAUCACUCACUCUCAUGUUGUUGCAACACCUAAUAAAUUUCUUUUUUCUGAUGAACACAAAGGCAGACAUUUUAAGAAAUGUUCGUAACCAAACCGUUUGUGGACCCCAUUUACUUACAUAGUAUUCCUUUAUCCUGCUAUGGAAGUAAAUGGGGUCCACGAACGGUUUAAUUACAAACAUUUCUCUAAACAUCUUCCUUAGUGUUCAUCAGAACAAAGAAAUUUAUGUGGGUUUAUAAAGCUUGACCAUUCCAUUGAUGGCAGGACAACUGACAACAAGGUUGGGAAAUCACUUCAAUGCCCAAGAGUGAAGAGAGGGUCAGAAACAUAUGCUAGGUUUUUUUGAGACAUUAAGCAAAAACUGUCCUAGGAGUGCAGCACUGAUGGCUAAGGAGCCUUACCACAAAGAAUUCAUCCCCAAAUCUUGCAUGCUUCCUAAAACUGUUCUUGAAUACAGAACACCAGAGACUCUGCAGCUACCCCCCAAAGAGCUUGGAGAGCUAUGCCAGGAUUUCCAGCUAGAAGAGCUCACCCUGUCUCAGGUUCAGGCUGUAGAGAGGGCAACUCGAAGUCAGAGUGCAAGCAGAGUGCAACCAUCCAAGAGCUUGAUCAAGGGCAUAUGCUACCCAGAAC